AUUGAACGCUGGCGGCAUGCCUUACACAUGCAAGUCGAACGGUAACAGGUCUUCGGAUGCUGACGAGUGGCGAACGGGUGAGUAAUACAUCGGAACGUGCCUAGUAGUGGGGGAUAACUACUCGAAAGAGUGGCUAAUACCGCAUGAGAUCUACGGAUGAAAGCAGGGGAUCGCAAGACCUUGUGCUACUACAGCGGCCGAUGGCAGAUUAGGUAGUUGGUGGGAUAAAAGCUUACCAAGCCGACGAUCUGUAGCUGGUCUGAGAGGACGAUCAGCCACACUGGGAAUGGGACACGGCCCAGACUCCUACGGGAGGCAGCAGUGGGGAAUUUUGGACAAUGGGCGCAAGCCUGAUCCAGCAAUGCCGCGUGCAGGAUGAAGGCCUUCGGGUUGUAAACUGCUUUUGUACGGAACGAAAAGCCCCGGGUUAAUACCCUGGGGUCAUGACGGUACCGUAAGAAUAAGCACCGGCUAACUACGUGCCAGCCGCCGCCGUAA
rnacentral:rRNA from 1 species